rnacentral:rRNA from 1 species
ACGUACACUCCUGCGGGAGGCAGCAGUGGGGAAUUUUGGACAAUGGGCGAAAGCCUGAUCCAGCCAUGCCGCGUGCAGGAUGAAGGCCUUCGGGUUGUAAACUGCUUUUGUACGGAACGAAACGGCCUUUUCUAAUAAAGAGGGCUAAUGACGGUACCGUAAGAAUAAGCACCGGCUAACUACGUGCCAGCAGCCGCGGUAAUACGUAGGGUGCAAGCGUUAAUCGGAAUUACUGGGCGUAAAGCGUGCGCAGGCGGUUAUGUAAGACAGUUGUGAAAUCCCCGGGCUCAACCUGGGAACUGCAUCUGUGACUGCAUAGCUAGAGUACGGUAGAGGGGGAUGGAAUUCCGCGUGUAGCAGUGAAAUGCGUAGAUAUGCGGAGGAACACCGAUGGCGAAGGCAAUCCCCUGGACCUGUACUGACGCUCAUGCACGAAAGCGUGGGAAGCAAACAGGAUUAGAUACCCGAGUAGUCCC